rnacentral:miRNA from 1 species
UGUCCAGUAGCACCUUAGAGACCAACUAAGUUUGUUCUGGGUAUAAGCUUUUGUGGUAUCUGAAGAAGUGUGCAUGCACACGAAAGCUUAUACCCAGAACAAACGUAGUUGGCCUCUAAGGUGCUACUGGACA